rnacentral:rRNA from 1 species
CCUACGGGAGGCAGCAGUGGGGAAUAUUGCACAAUGGGCGCAAGCCUGAUGCAGCCAUGCCGCGUGUAUGAAGAAGGCCUUCGGGUUGUAAAGUACUUUCAGCGGGGAGGAAGGCGAUGCGGUUAAUAACCGCGUCGAUUGACGUUACCCGCAGAAGAAGCACCGGCUAACUCCGUGCCAGCAGCCGCGGUAAUA